CCUACGGGAGGCAGCAGUAGGGAAUAUUGCUCAAUGGGGGAAACCCUGAAGCAGCAACGCCGCGUGGAGGAUGAAGGUUUUCGGAUUGUAAACUCCUUUUGUUAGAGAAGAUAAUGACGGUAUCUAACGAAUAAGCACCGGCUAACUCCGUGCCAGCAGCCGCGGUAAUACGGAGGGUGCAAGCGUUACUCGGAAUCACUGGGCGUAAAGAGCGCGUAGGCGGGAUAGCAAGUCAGAUGUGAAAUCCUAUGGCUUAACCAUAGAACUGCAGUUGAAACUGUUAGUCUAGAGUAUGGGAGAGGUAGGUGGAAUUCUUGGUGUAGGGGUAAAAUGCGUAGAGAUCAAGAGGAAUACUCAUUGCGAAGGCGACCUGCUAGAACAUAACUGACGCUGAUGCGCGAAAGCGUGGGGAGCAAACAGGAUUAGAUACCCUUGUAGUC
rnacentral:rRNA from 1 species